rnacentral:rRNA from 1 species
AUUGAACGCUGGCGGCAGGCUUAACACAUGCAAGUCGAGCGGGGUGAUGGUGCUUGCACUAUCACUUAGCGGCGGACGGGUGAGUAAUGCUUAGGAAUCUGCCUAUUAGUGGGGGACAACAUCUCGAAAGGGAUGCUAAUACCGCAUACGUCCUACGGGAGAAAGCAGGGGAUCACUUGUGACCUUGCGCUAAUAGAUGAGCCUAAGUCGGAUUAGCUAGUUGGUGGGGUAAAGGCCUACCAAGGCGACGAUCUGUAGCGGGUCUGAGAGGAUGAGACGCCACACUGGGACUGGGACACGGCCCAGACUCCUACGGGAGGCAGGAGUGGGGAAUAUUGGACAAUGGGGGGAACCCUGAUCCAGCCAUGCCGCGUGUGUGAAGAAGGCCUUAUGGUUGUAAAGCACUUUAAGCGAGGAGGAGGCUCUUUUGGUUAAUACCCAAGAUGAGUGGACGUUACUCGCAGAAUAAGCACCGGCUAACUCUGUGCCAGCCGCCGCAGUAA